CUCUCUGUCUCUCCUGCCACCAUGUGAAGAAGGUGCUUGUUUCCCCUUUGCCUUCCGCCAUGAGUGUAAGUUUCCUGAGGUCUCCCAGUCAUACUGCUGGUUAAGCCUGCAGAACGGCUGGUCUUGAACUCCCAGCCUCAAGCCAUCCUCCCGCCUUGGCCUUUCAAAGUGCUGGAUUACAAGCGUGAGCCACCGUGCACAGCCAAGACACAAUUUUAAAUCGAGCGGUCAGGAAGCCUCCUGGAGAAAAUGACGUUUGAACAAAGACAUGAAGAAAGUGGAGAAUAUUUGGAGAAAAGCAUUUCAGGCAGAGGAAAGUGCCAGGGCAGAGGCCCCGAGGCAGGAGGAAGCAACAGAAAACAGGGAAGCAGGUGUCCCAGGAGGAGCCCAAUGCCAUGGAAAGAUGGGAAAAGAGGUGGUGGAUGAGAUCCUGGAUUCUUAUAAACUUUAUCUACUCCACUUGCACAGAUGAUGGAGGAUUUGAGGAGUGUCAGUGAAUGCUCUGUGUGGACUGAACUUGGAGCAGACUGGGGCUGGAACUCUCCAGGGAGGGCAACUUUGACCGAGACAUCUUAGGGUUUGCCAAGUCCUCAGCAGAUGUUUUUUGAUGUGCCUUGAGAUCCUCAAAUGAGAAGGGCAGUGGGAUUCUUCCCUCUCCAGCCAGGACCACAUCUGUGCUUUUCUGUAAUUGUGUAAAAAAAAAAAAAAAAAAAAAAA
rnacentral:lncRNA from 1 species